GACAGAGGUGCCGAGCGUUAGGCGGAAUCACUGGGCUUAAAGCGUGUGUAGGCGGAUUUGUAAGUACCUUGUGAAAUCCCACGGCUCAACCGUGGAACUGCUUGGUAUACUGCUUAUCUUGAGCCACUUAGGGGCAGUCGGAACAGACGGUGGAGCGGUGAAAUGCGUAGAUAUCGAGAGGAACACCUGCGGCGAAGGCGGGUUGCUGGGCUGAUACUGACGCUGAGGCGCGAAAGCCAGGGGAGCGAACGGG
rnacentral:rRNA from 1 species